CAGUUCUGGCAAGAGAAGGAAAAGUAGAAUUGUCGACGCACAGCUUUCUCUCCUGCCCACUUGCAGAUUCUGGGAUUCGUGGCUUGGAACCCCUCAGCCACCGGGAAGAGGAUUGGUUGUACCAACACCGAUGAAGGGAACUGUCAGCCAAGAGGAAGAUAGAAUUCCAGGUCUGAAGAGAUGUCAAGGGCAGCUGUUAUCCCUGGAAAGGGCAUCAAGGAAGCAGACUGGAGAACUGGUUCAUCCAACUCAAGUUACAAGUGCUCCGGAAAACCUGAAAACAACAGCAGGAGAGAGCCCAGCGUUAGUGCAUGGAACCAUGAAGAACCUGCCUGGCAUUGAAGCAUCCCCAAAGUUAUUCCCUGAGGUCUGUGUGAUGUUUGAGAUUUGGUAUAAACUUUAACCUUAAAAUCAAAUAAAUGGGAAGCAUAUUCAAAA